UACGUAGGUGGCUAGCGUUACUCGGAAUCACUGGGCAUAAAGGGCGUGUAGGCGGACAUAUAAGUCCGGUGUGAAAUCCCUCGGCUCAACCGGGGAAGGUCAUCGGAUACUGUAUGUCUUGAGUGCGGGAGGGGAGAAUGGAACUCUUGGUGGAGCGGUGAAAUGCGUAGAUAUCAAGAGGAACGCCGGUGGCGAAAGCGGUUCUCUGGCCCGUAACUGACGCUGAGGCGCGAAAGCUAGGGGAGCAAACGGG
rnacentral:rRNA from 1 species